rnacentral:lncRNA from 1 species
CACAGUUAAAUUCCUUGCAUUUUUCUGAUUCCAAAACAUAUAUGGAUUGCCCAAAUUGGAUAUAGCAUGCAUCUCCUAGGAUUUAAACAAGAUUAACUUCAUUUAUGCAAUUAAACAAAACCAAAAAGAAAACCACUCGGAACGGGCGCAUGGACUCGGUCCAUCGGGCGCAUCGGUGCACCAGGCGACUGACAGGUGGGUCCAAUGGGCCCACUUGUCAGUGGUC